GGUAAAACUCAUUAUAUUGGCAUCAUAAUUCCACCGAAUUAGAUGCUCAAUGUAAAAGCUAAACCAAAUCGAAAAUUCAUUUACGCUGUCAGUGUUUAGAAACGGCAUUCACAAUCGUUGCAACCAAGCUCAGUUAUCAAUGUUAAGGUAUUCGUCUCUCUUCUCUGUUCCUUCUACUCUCAAUUUGUUUCUUCUUCAUCGUCGAUUACACAUUCAGCCUCUUCCUUCGUUCAUUGACAAUGUUAAUGAUGCUGUUUCCUCAUUCAAUCGUAUUCUCCAUAUGAAGAAUCCUACCCCACCCAUCUUUGAAUUUAAUAAGAUUUUAUCUUCUCUUGCUAAGUUGAAUCAUUUCAAUAUUGCUAUUUCUUUUUCUCAACAAAUGGAACUUAAACCAAUUCAACCUGACAUUUUUACUUUAAGCAUCUUGAUUAAUUGUUUUUGCCACUUGAAUCAACUCAAUUACGCUUUUUCUAUAUUGGGUAAGAUUCUUAAACUAGGUUAUGAGCCGAAUACUGUAACUUUAACUACACUUAUCAAAGGUCUUUGUCUUAAUGGUGAGGUUAGGAAAGCCCUUUACUUUCAUAACGAUGUUAUAGCAAAGGGAUUUUAUCUUAAUGAGGUUAGUUAUGGGACCUUGAUCAACGGAUUAUGUAAAUCCGGUGAAACUAAAGCUGCAUUGUCGUUGCUUAGAAAGAUUGAAGGCUCGUUGGUUAAGCCUGAUGUCGUUAUGUACAACACAAUCAUUGACAGUCUCUGUAAAGAUAAGCUUGUUAGUGAUGGGUAUGAUUUAUAUUCUGAAAUGAUUGUUAAGAAAAUUUAUCCUGAUGCCAUCACUUACAAUACUCUAAUAUAUGGUUUUUCUAUUUUGGGUCAAAUGAAAGAAGCAGUUGGUUUGUUAAAUCGAAUGACGUUGAAAAACGUCAACCCCAAUGUUUACACCUUUAGUAUUUUGAUUGAUGUUUUAUGUAAGGAUGGAGAGGUGAAAAAAGCUAGAAAUGUGUUGGCUGUUAUGAUAAAACAAGGCGUGGAACCCAAUAUUGCUACUUAUAGUUCUUUAAUGGAUGGGUGUUUCUCGGUUAAAGAAGUGAACAAGGCCACAUAUGUAUUCAACACUAUUGCUAGAAGGGGAGUGGCUCUUGAUGUUCAGAGCUACAGUGUUAUGAUUAACGGAUUUUGCAAGAAUAAAAUGGUGGAUGAAGCAGUUAAUCUCUUCAAAGAAAUGCAUUCCAAAAAUAUGGUUCCUAACACUGUAACAUACAAUUCCUUAAUUGAUGGACUUUGCAAAUUAGGGAGAAUGUCUGAUGCUUGGGAUUUUAUAGAUGAGAUGCAUGAUAGAGGUCAACCAGCGAACAUUAUCACUUACAGUUCUUUAUUAGAUGGAUUGUGCAAAAACCAUCAGGUUGACAAGGCAAUCACUUUGUUAACGAAGAUCAAGAACCAAGGAAUUCAGCUAGAUAUCUAUACAUACACUAUACUUGUUGAUGGACUGUGCAAAAAUGGAAAACUUAGGGAUGCACAAGAGGUUUAUCAGGUUCUUCUGAAUAACACCUAUCAUUUAGAUGCUAGGAUAUAUACUGUGAUGAUUAAUGGGCUUUGUAAAGAAGGGUUUUUUGAUGAAGCAUUGUCCUUACUCUCAAAAAUGGAAGACAACGGUUGCACUCCUGAUGGUGUAACUUAUGAAAUUAUUAUUCGUGCUUUGUUUGAAAACAACAGAAAUGAUAAGGCGGUGAAACUGAUUCGUGAAAUGAUUGCUAGAGGUCUACUCUAAAGAGUAAAACUAGGUAAGAUGUUUUCUACUUACAAUUUGUUAUUAUGAAUUUUAAAACAAGCAUCCAAUAUUUAUUUGCUUUUACUGCAACUUGAAAAGGAAAUUGGACUCUUCAGCAAGCUAACUACAGCUGAAGUCAUGUGUUGUAAGGUUCAUAUUGAUGUUGUAACAACUAACAAUAGUGGAUGAUCUGUUUUAUUUUAUUUUUUCUUCUCUUGACAUUUUAUAGCUGGAGUAUGUUUACACCUUAUACUCAGUUCUUUUAGCAUUACAUUAGUCUUUUAAUGUUCAGUAACCCAGAGUGUUACUGUUCUAGUAAAAAAGAAAUCAUAACUAAAUAUUAUUGAAUAAUUGUAGAUCUCAAUUGAUGUUAAGCUAAUACCUCACCAAUGGUUUGGUCAAAAAAGAAAAAAAAAAAUACGUCAUCAAUGUUUACCUUAGAAUAGAAGCAGAUAUGAACAUGAAUUCUUUCUCAAUCUGCUAAGUCACUAAUGCUUUUAUUUGAUUCUCUGUUUUAUUAAUGUGGUUCUUGCCAUAAAAUUUGGACACUUAACACUUUUGAUAUCAACUUCUAGAGGGGGAGUUACUAGUUGCUUGAGAUUCUUAGGCCAAACUAACAUAGAUGUGCAAAAAGUUGGUUUGAGAGAAAUUUUCCCUAAGCUAGUUGUACACAGACAUCUUCAUGAUUACAUGUUCUUUACUCUUGAACAUGCCAAUCCCUAAGUUUGCUAAAUAUCUAGUUUUAUAAGUUAUAACUUCAAUGCAUAUACAAUUAAUCUGAAAUGUUAGAAAGCUGAUUUAUGUAUGACCAUACAUAAAUCUGAAAUGUCAGUAAGGUGAAAUGUAUGACCAUACAUUUCAGUGAUUUAUCAAAGUAUCAUCCCCAAAUACUACAAGAAUAUCCCCAUAGUUGAGAUUAAACAAGCUUCAUGUAUCUGAGGUAUGAAUGUAGUAAUAUUGAGAAUUCCAUUCUAUCCAUUUCUCAAACUCACUUUUCUUUUAUGAUCUCAGGCAGUGCCGCUAUUCUACAAUGGUUUUUAAAUUAUUUAUUUCCUAGGCAAAAUACAUGUAGCCAGCCGCGACAACGUCACUCAAUUCACUAGCUUGUGUAUCGACGUCGACAUUCUUUCCUACAUUAUUUAAGUGGAUCACUGAAUAAACCAUGGAGUAAGUUCCAGUUAAACUCAGGAGCUGCAGGAGGUGUAGUAGACAUGAUAAGGCACUGGGAAGCUGAUUGCAAUUUGCACAGAGAAAUAACCUGAAGUGAAGUGAAUCCAAUUGGUGUUGUUAAUGAUAUAAUGGCUUCUGAUUUUGGAUUGAAUUUAUCCUGCAAUUUGUGUUGUCAGAUGGUUACAACUCCAAAUACCAUUUUGGAAAAAGAUUUUUAUGCAUGAGUUGGGAUGCACAUGUUGUGAACAUAAAGGAUUCACAUGUUGAUGUUCAUUUGUUUAAAUUGAUAGAGUAUAUCAUUCAAGAUCGUUAAAAACGUACGAUCAGUAUUGGAAAUGAACGGAGAAGUGGUGGAACGUGCGGAACCA